UACGAAGGGGGCGAGCGUUGUUCGGAAUUACUGGGCGUAAAGGGCGCGUAGGCGGCUGUUCCAAGUCGGGGGUGAAAGCCUGUGGCUCAACCACAGAAUGGCCUUCGAUACUGGACGGCUCGAGACCGGAAGAGGUGAGUGGAACUGCGAGUGUAGAGGUGAAAUUCGUAGAUAUUCGCAAGAACACCAGUGGCGAAGGCGGCCAACUGGACCAUUACUGACGCUGAGGCGCGAAAGCGUGGGGAGCAAACAGG
rnacentral:rRNA from 1 species